GCCUUUGUGGUGUAGUGGUCUGCAUGUUCGACGCGUAACCGAGAGGUCCGUGGUUCGAUUCCCGGCGAAGGCA
rnacentral:tRNA from 1 species